GCGGGGGUGCCCGAGCCAGGACAAAGGGGCAGGGUUGAGGUCCCUGUGGCGAAGGCCUGCGUGGGUUCAAAUCCCACCCCCCGCACCA
rnacentral:tRNA from 1 species